ensembl:lncRNA
CACCAGUGUGGGCCAGGCUGACAUGGGCAUUUACUGCUGUAUGGCACGAAAUGUGGCCAAUGCCUGCCACAGCCAGGAUGCUCAGCUGACCUUGAAGGUGGGAUCCCCACAGCUGCUGCAGGAACUCGAGAUCCUGUCUGGGCCUCAGAACCUGACUCUCAAGCACACUGAUGCUGGCAGGGAUCUCAGCCAAGGAUGAGGCCAUCUACCAAUGUGUGGCAGAGAACAGUGCAGGCUCCAACCAGGCUAGUGCCCGCCUGGCUGUGACAGGAGACCUUGAGCCACCCCCUGCCUCCAAGGGUCUGCAGGCAGUGGCUCUCUCCCCUUCUGCCAUCCAAGUGUCCUGAGAACAUCAUCAGCUAUGUGCUGCACCUCCAGCCUGUGGGAGACAGGGUCCCAUGAGUGCCGGGCAGUGCCUCAGACUGUCUUGGACAGAGCAAGGAACCACAGAGGCCAGGCUCCAAGUGGACGGAAGCUGGGGGAGAAGACUGAACUCAUCACCCAGGUGAGGGGGAUUAAAGGGAGGGGAAAGUGGUGUGCUUGAGGCCCUGGGUCUGGGUCUGACCAUCUCCUUCCCGCUCAGGUGAUCAGCCUAAGGGCUCCCUCCCAGAUGCCACUAACUCCAGCCCUACCAAAGAAUGUACCUCACCUUUGAGUCAGAAAAGGUCCCUCAGCCCUUCUCUGGGGAGGUGCAGGACCGACCACAGGGAGAGAGAAGAGGGUGUGAUUUCUCUAUUUCUCUCUUCUCCUCAAGAAAUGGGGGGUAUCUGUGUCUUCCCCAACACACCAAAUAACCUCAAACUAAACCAGGCUCAGGUGGGAGUCCUCCCCAACUCGUUAGUCCUGCCUCCUGACCCCACUGAAUCUAUCCUCUUGAUCUAAAUAUGAACUAACCAAAGAUACCUAGCUAUAAGGGUUCCUCCCAAGAGGGGAGGCAGGGCAAGGGACUCUGUCAGUACCUCCAUGGACCAACUCCAGCCCCUAGCCUUGCUCAUGCCCAAGCUGGGGUCUGACCCCAGGAAAGGCACCCUGCAUUCCUGGUGGACUGAAUGGGCAGGUAGACAAAGGGGCUGCUCAGUAUCUUGCCCCCCUUGUCCCAACACCAGAAGAGUUCUGAAUACCUGAGCUCACAUGCUCUGCUUCUCUGAGCAACCACAUGCUCAUCUCCCCCUUUCCAGAUCCAAAGCACUGGCCCCCUUUCAGGAGGCAUCCCUCCAAUUUUUUUUUUUUUUUUUGUCUUUGCCAUUUCUUGGGCUGCUCCCGCAGCAUAUGGAGGUUCCCAGGCUAGGGGUCAAAUCAGAACUGUAGCAGCCGGCCUAUACCAGAGCCACAGCAACUCGGGAUCCGAGCCACGUCUGCGACCUACACCACAGCUCAUGGCAAUGCCGGAUCCUUAACCCACUGAGCAAGGCCAGGGAUCGAACCUGCAACCUCAUGGUUCCUAGUCGGAUUCGUUAACCACUGAGCCACGACGGGAACUCCCAAGUUCUAUUUUUGAAAGGAAAUAAUAGUUUGCUUUAAGGUUUCGGUGGCCUUGAAUCCCUGUAAAAUGAGCACAGAGACUACGAGCACCCCACCCAUCUAUCCCCUCCAUUCUGGUGUCCAAAGGGAGCCUCUUCCCUACUCCUCCCUCUGCUGACCUAAGUGGGAGGUGCUUUGUCCCUCCUCAUCUGGCUCUACCACCACAACCUUAAAACCAAACCCCGAGGCUCUCGCUUAACCUGCCUCUUCCUCUAGGACUGUCCAGGAUUGUGCCCCAAAGGGGUAGGGUCUCAGAGGAAGGAAAAUCGAGCCUUGUGGGACCCCACUGACUCUUCUGUGCUCUCAUAAAAUGAUGCUGGUACCAAUGACACAACUCCAGCAAGACUGGGCCUUGCCCCUCUGCACCUGCUCCAUCUGCGUAAGAAAUUUAACUAAGAAACGUGACAAGGGACCCAGGGGUUAAGAACAGCUCCAAACUUCAAGUCUUUGAGAAAGUGAC